rnacentral:rRNA from 1 species
UACGUAGGGACCGAGCGUUGUCCGGAUUCAUUGGGCGUAAAGAGCGUGUAGGCGGUCCGAUAAGUCCGCUCUGAAAGCCCGGGGCUCAACCCCGGGAGGCGGGCGGAUACUGUCGGGCUAGAGUCCGGAAGAGGCAAGUGGAAUUCCUGGUGUAGCGGUGAAAUGCGCAGAUAUCAGGAGGAACACCGAUGGCGAAGGCAGCUUGCUGGGACGGUACUGACGCUGAGACGCGAAAGCGUGGGGAGCAAACAGG